rnacentral:rRNA from 1 species
UACGGGGGGGGGCAAGCGUUGUUCGGAAUUACUGGGCGUAAAGGGCUCGUAGGCGGCCAACUAAGUCGGAUGUGAAAUCCCCAGGCUUAACCUGGGAACUGCAUCCGAUACUGGAUGGCUUGAAUCCGGGAGAGGGAUGCGGAAUUCCAGGUGUAGCGGUGAAAUGCGUAGAUAUCUGGAGGAACACCGGUGGCGAAGGCGGCAUCCUGGACCGGCAUUGACGCUGAGGAGCGAAAGCCAGGGGAGCAAACAGGG